rnacentral:rRNA from 1 species
GACGAACGCGUGGCGGCGUGCUUAACACAUGCAAGUCGUACGAGGCAGAUUUUCAUCACUGAACUUUAAAGAGCGGACUGAUGAGAGGCGUCGUGAAUGCGGAGCAUUCACUACACUUUUAUAAAGUGCUUAACUUUAAGGCUGAGUGAUGAAAAGAUGCCGAGUGGCAAACGGGUGAGUAACGCGUAGACAACCUGCCGUAAAGAUGGGGACAACAGUUCGAAAGGACUGCUAAUACCGAAUGUUGUAGAGUUUCCGCAUGGGGAAUCCUACUAAAGGUGGCCUCUACUUGUAAGCUAUCGCUUUACGAUGGGUCUGCGUCUGAUUAGCUAGUUGGUGGGGUAACGGCCUACCAAGGCGACGAUCAGUAGCCGGUCUGAGAGGAUGAACGGCCACAUUGGAACUGAGACACGGUCCAG